UACGUAGGGGGCAAGCGUUGUCCGGAAUCAUUGGGCGUAAAGAGCGUGUAGGCGGCCCGGUAAGUCUGUUGUGAAAGUCCAGGGCUCAACCCUGGAAUGCCGAUGGAUACUGCCGGGCUAGAGUUCGGAAGAGGCGAGUGGAAUUCCUGGUGUAGCGGUGGAAUGCGCAGAUAUCAGGAGGAACACCUAUAGCGAAGGCAACUCGCUGGGACGACACUGACGCUGAGACGCGAAAGCGUGGGGAGCGAACAGG
rnacentral:rRNA from 1 species